rnacentral:tRNA from 1 species
GGGGAUGUAGCUCAGUUGGUGGAGUGCUUGCCUUGCCUGCAUGAGGCCCUGGGUUCAAUCCCCAGCACCGCCA